UCUGAGUAAACUGGUGAACGGGUGAGUAACACGUAUGUAACCUGACCUCGAGACUGGGAUAAGAGUCGCGGACGCGAUGCUAAUACCGGAUAAAGCACAGGAUUCGCAUGGAUUUUGUGUUAAAGUUGGGUUCGGUUUGCACUUGAGGAUGGACCUGCGCCCCAUAAUGAGUCUGGUGAGGUAACGGCUCACCAAGACUGCGAUGGGUAGCCGGCCUGAGAGGGUGAUCGGCCACACUGGGACUGAGAUACGGCCGAGACUUCUACGGAAGGCAGCAGUAAGGAAUAUUGCGCAAUGGUCUAAAGACUGACGCAGCAACGCCGCGUGCAGGAUGAAGCUUCUAGGAGUGUAAACUGCCUUUAGUUGGGAAGAACAGACAGGUUUCGAAUAGGGACUUGUUUUGACGGUACCUUUAGAAAAAGCCCCGGCUAACUCCGUGCCAGCAGCCGCGGUAACACGGGGGGGGCAAGCGUUGUCCGGAAUUAUUGGGCGUAAAGGGCGCGCAGGCGGGAUGAUCAGUCUGAGGUGAAAUCUUUUGGCUUAACCGAAAGCUUGCCUUGGAUACUGUCAUUCUUGAGUUCGGAAGAGGGAAGUGGAAUUCCUGGUGUAGCGGUGAAAUGCGUAGAUCUCAGGAAGAACACCGGUGGCGAAAGCGGCUUCCUGGUCCGAUACU
rnacentral:rRNA from 1 species